GGGCCCGCACAAGCAGUGGAUUAUGUGGUUUAAUUCGAAGCAACGCGAAGAACCUUACCAGGGUUUGACAUCCUACUAACGAAGCAGAGAUGCAUUAGGUGCCCUUCGGGGAAAGUAGAGACAGGUGGUGCAUGGUUGUCGUCAGCUCGUGUCGUGAGAUGUUGGGUUAAGUCCCGCAACGAGCGCAACCCUUAUUGCUAGUUGCUACGCAAGAGCACUCUAGCGAGACUGCCGUUGACAAAACGGAGGAAGGUGGGGACGACGUCAAAUCAUCAUGCCCCUUAUAUCCUGGGCUACACACGUAAUACAAUGGCAUUUAACAGAGGGAAGCAAAGCCGCGAGGCAGAGCAAAUCCCUAAAAGGUGUCUCAGUUCGGAUUGCAGGCUGCAACUCGCCUGCAUGAAGUCGGAAUUGCUAGUAAUCGCGGAUCAGCAUGCCGCGGUGAAUACGUUCCCGGGCCUU
rnacentral:rRNA from 1 species